GGGUAGUUUGGUUGUCCGACGGAGUAGGGCAAACAUAAAGGGGGGAAGGCGAUCGGAGUUGUACGGGCAAUUACUUAAAAGAAUUUGAGAUGAGAAUAAGUAAUGCAUUGUGCACCUGAACAGCCAUAGAUAUGAUCAUAUAAGAAUCUCAUACAAAUCUGAAACUCAUAAGGCCACAGAUGGAAGAAAAUAAAACCUAAGUGUCAUGAUGCGGUAUAUCUUUGACCUAUUGUUGAUAAUAGAUUUGCUCGCCGUUGGUGGUUAGCAUCACCACCACAUUAUGUGUCAUUUGAUAAGUUUGAUUUAACUUACCACCCGCUAGACCUGUAAACGGAUCGGAUUUAUCGGAUUCAAUCCGACCCGUUAAGUUAACAGGUUAUCUGAAAUCGACCCGUUAAGCUAACGGGUCACCCAAACCCGACCCGGUAAACUAACGGAUCACCCGUUAACAAUUAUUAUUAUUAUUUUUUUGCAUAGAGUUUAUUUUUUGUUGUUAAAACUUUAAUGAAAUUAUUAAAAUAUCCUCAACUAAUGGGUCCUAACGGUGCUAACGGGUUGACCCAAAAUGACCUGUUAUUUAACGAGUUCACCUGUUAGUGGCCCAACCUGUUAAACAUCCACCCAAAUACUAAUAUUAACAGAUCAGAUCGGUUCGGAUCGGGUUAUCGGAUCGAGUCCAAAAUGCCAGAUCUACCACCCGCCACCACGAAUAUCAAAAAAUCAAAAUCGUCAAAUGGCACAUAUUAUGGUGGUAAUCUAUUCUCCCUAUUGCUAGUUGAUACUAUUCCAUUCGCAUAUAAGUUUUUUAGAUGUUCUAAAUCUGAAACAUAGGAAGAUCAUGUUGAAUUGUGGCCAAGUGGACAACAAAACAAAACAACUUUCGG
rnacentral:lncRNA from 1 species